GGUGUCUACAUGUACAUCAUUUUUAAUAAGCAGAGAAGCACUGACAAUGGAUGUGUACUGUAGCUUUGGAAGCCCAUUUCAGACACAGCCUUAGGCCUCACUUUCAGGAAUAAUGAUAUUGCCAUCUAAAAGAGUUGCCUUUGGAACUCUUCAAUCUUGGUGCCCCCAAGUACAUAUAUGAGCUGAUGCCAUUGUCUGGUGGUAGAACAAGUGGCAUGCAGACCAUCCAGCCCCCUUCCUCCCUGGACAUAUUGUUUUAUGGGCUAAAUAAAUGCUAUGCAUGUAUUAUCUAUCAAUGAAGAUUGUUUUUCAAAAUAAUGAAUUUAAAAAACUUGAGACCUUUUUUGGGCAUAGGCGAUUACAGCAUUUGGGCAGUGGAGGGUAAGGUUGUUCAUUCACAUGGCCUUAGUGGACAUUAAUGACAGCCUGGAGCAUCCUUGUGCAGUACCCAUGAAGGGACUUGACUAGAAGUCAUUGGCUGAGCCUUUUAUACAAAUCAAUCCCUUGGCGCUCAUUUUCAACGCACCGCUGAACCACGCAGCUUGUCCAAACAGAAAUACCCUCGAAAAAUCAGUGCUCAUUUCUAGUUUUUCUACCAUAGCCCAGAAACGUGUCAAAUAUUUGCUUCCUCAGUUGAGUAUUAUGAACUCCAGAUACAUUCCUUUUGAAAAAUCUUUAUAAGUUGGCAAAAUUCAUUGAUUUAACUCCGUCAUUUUUUAGUUCAACAUUGGAGUUUCGUCAUGUUUUGGUGUCAUUUUGCAUUUAAAUUCUCCGUUUAUGCUCUCUUUCUGCUCAACUUCCCAACUUCAACCGACCAUAACUCAGGCUAGCGCGAACCUUUGACCUCCUCAAUCGUAGGGUAGUUUCUUCUAUUCAUUAGCUGUUCACCCCGUCUUUAUGGAAACAAUGUUUUGCUACCAAUGAAAUAACAGUUCAAAUCGUGCAUUCAGCCAUCAGCUUCCAUGUGUAUAUGUGCACAACGUACGUAUAGUGCAUGUGCGUGCAUGUGGUGGCCACGUUGCAUCGAGACAGCAGAAAUUUUCGGUGCGCAUGGGAAAAACUGUUCUCUUUGAAAGACAAACUAAAUGAUGACCAAUGGCACACCGUCAACUACACUAAGACACCAAUGGAGGGAGAUUUGUUGAUCAGUGUCGAUUCUACAACAGUUGGUCUGAGCUUGUAUCAGACUGAUGCUGUCAUUGAAUGGCAACAGAACCUAGAUUCACUAUCUGCCGUGUUCUUUGGAGGUCUAAACCCAAGCUCAUCUGCCAUGGCACCUAAGGAUUUCCAUCAUUUAACUGGAUGUAUGGACAGCAUAUACUUUCUGACUGAUGGCAUGGAAUCCUGGAACCACAUGAACUACACUAUGCAAGAGGGAACUGUUCCCGGCUGUGUAGAUCUGUGUGCAUCAGAAAUGCCAUGCUUGAAUGGUCGUUGCAUCAACUCAUACGCCAGUACAUAUUGCGACUGCUUUGAGUCAGGUUACCAUGGUCAUAAGUGUGAAAUUCCAGGAAAUGCCAUGGUGACAUUUCAAGGCUUCAACUACCUAGAAUAUGACAUUUUUUCAUCUGGUAACGAAAGACCAUUGGAGAAGAAUCACAUCAACUUGAGUUUCAAGGUGGGAAGAGAACAACUAGUUGGGACAUUGUUAUAUGCCAGUGGGGUAGUGCCCGUUCAGACCUACUUAACUGUUUCCUUGAAGAAGGGUCGUUUAGUGGUGAACGUCAAACUGGGUAGCUCUCUCAAUACCUUCCAGUUUGAAGGCCAACCUGCUGUUAAUGAUGACAGAUGGCACUAUGUGACCUUCAUCCACAAUGGCAAGAACUUGGAGGUUCAGCUGGAUGGGCGGAGCUACCAUCAGGAGGUAGCUGAUGGGACUGGUCUCUUCCAUUUUGGAGGUCCAGCACUGAUAGGUGGUGGUCAGAACCUGAAUGGAUACCCAGGUCUUGAUGAACCAGCCAAUUUUGUUGGCUGCUUACGAGAGAUCUAUAUUGACAGAUACAAUGUCCUUGAAGCACUGUAUAUGAAUAUUUCUGGGGUGAGGUUCCAUGGUGGAGAUCCUGUCAAGCAGUGUCGACCGGUUGGCUAUCCACCCAUAACAUUCCCAUCUCAUCAGUCCAAUCUUAUCCUGGAUGGAUGGAAGAAUGGAAGCCUGAAUAUCAUGUUUGACCUGAAGACAGAUCAAGGUGAUGGACUGGUCAUGCUGGUAUUGCUAGACGUCGACAAGAAGUUGGAAGGCAGAUUGAGGAUGGAGCUGAUUGAUACAGCCCUACUUUUACACCUGGAUAUCGGCACAGCUCCUGGACAACGUUUGUCACGCACUACACUCAAGACCAGCCCUGGCGUUAAUGAUACAAGAUGGCAUAGAGUGGCACUUCAUCUUAGAGAUGGGGUCUGCUCAUUUGUAGUGGAUGGUAGGAAUUUGGAGUUUACAUAUUCCCACCAGUUAUCAGCAAGCUCCUCGCUGUAUCUAGGAGGAGGAUGGAGAGGACAAGGAACAGGUAUAAAGGGCUGUGUUCGUCACAUCGUUCUUCAAGAGAAGGAGAUCAUAGCCACACAGGUUUUGGGUACUGCUGCAGCUAAUGGCGUGAUACUGGACAACUGUCCUGUUUCCAAUCCGUGUGCUGCUGGUGAGUUUGUCUGUCAACACGGAGGGACUUGCAGUCACGCCAGUGGAGGGACGAGGUGUAACUGUGAAGGCACUGGUUAUGUUGGAGCAAUGUGCAGUUACUCGAUGUACAAAGAAAGUUGUACCCACCUGUACCACUCUGGAGAUCAGGAUUCUGGAGUCAAGGUACUAGACUUGGAUGGACCAGGGCCACUGAAUGCAACUUAUGUCAACUGCACUUACAGAUCUGGAAAGGCAGAGACUACUAUUGAGCAUAACUUUGCUCCCAGAACUCUUGUACGCGAUGUUCACCUACCCAGCCUGGAAUUCAACAUUACCUACCAGUACAUGACUAACGAGCAUCUGAAACAGCUUGUUAUCAACUCCCAAACCUGCAGGCAGUAUUUCAGUUACUGGUGUUUUGAAGCACCCCUGCAUGUCAGAAGGGGAUGGACAGCUUUGCACAGUGCUGCUGGCAGGAGACUUCGUUACUACAACCUACCAUUUGUUACUCACUGUGACCUCAAUGCCAAAGAAUGGAAUGUUGACCAGGGUAUCAUCACCAAUAUGCCAUCAUUGCCCAUUGCCAGUAUGCAGUUCUACAAGGUACAAACAUAUGUCCAUGGAACAACCAAAGGCACAUUGUCCUUAGGCCCCCUGCAGUGUUCCAGUAGUCUUACUGAACAGAGGGGUCGCACUGUCACUAUCUCACGUUCACAAGACUACAUCACAUUGAAAACAUGGAAGAGUAACUCUCUGUCUUUUAAGUUCCGCACAUCUAUGGAGAACAUCGUUCUCUUCCAUCAGAUGGGCAGUGGAAGUGAUUCCCAUUCACUGACUGGAAUUCUAAAGGAUGCGUUCAGUGUCUGGCUCAUACUUGAGAUAAAUGGCGAUUUUUAUGAUGGUCAUGUGAAAUCUCCCCGACGUUUGACUGACGGCAACUGGCAUACUCUAACUGUGGAACGAAGCUUGAUUGACUUCCGUGUCACCGUGGAUUUCACUGAGGGAUUCCUCAAUCUUCCAAAAGGAGUUACUUUGAUGCUUGCUGGACCAUUUCUUCUUGGUGGAAUGAAGGAGUUACCCAAAGGUACUGAGGGUAUGACAGGAUGCAUUGCAGACUUCACGUUCAACGGAGAUGUUGUCUUUCUCUUUGAUCACUUUGAACAUGAAGAACAUCUCCAAAUAGAGGCAGGCUGUGUGACUUCAUGUGACUCCAAUCCGUGUCAAAAUGGAGGCACCUGUGUUGACCGCUGGAGUUCCUACACAUGCAGCUGCGCACACCCGGCGCACUCAGGCCCAGACUGUAGCAGAGACAACACCAAGGAUGUAGUCUCCUUCACAAGCGAAGAUCUUUUCUUGGAAUUUGAGGCUGAAAAUGCCGACAUCUUAACCUCAGAUAUGCAGCUUGGUUUCCGCACUCUUCAGUCCAAUGCAUUAAUUCUGUAUGCGCGUGAUAACUUGAACAACUUCGUCCAGAUGGAAUUGGUUGAUGAUAGCACUUUUGGCUUUACAUUCAAUGCCGGAAGGGAUGUCCACAGGGUGGUCGUUAAUGCUAAUGAGAGUGUAUGUCCAGUACCAUUAAGCAACCCAGUGUUGUGUGCCCACCUGUGCCAAGAUGAUUCACACUGCAACUCUGGUAUGAAAUGCUGCUUCACUGGUUGUGGAACUGAAUGUGUCAUGCCAAUUGGAGGUGGUGUCUUAAAUGAUGGUGAAUGGGUGGAGGUUAGUGUGCAAAGAAAGGACGACAUGACAGUAGUGAACAUCAAUCAACACCAGGCAGAGAUCGGGGUACCGGUUAACCUACUGACAGAGUUCUAUGCUCAACCAUUUCAGGAUGAAGAAAUUAUACAGCCAAAUCAAGAGUUAAGGACAUCUGGUAAAUCGAUGGUUCACAUCAUUAUUGGAGGUGCUCCGAACUCCUUAACUCUCUUACCUGGACUAAUGGGAUGCGUCAGGGGGCUCAUUGUCAACGGUCAGCCUGUUGGACUCCAGGAAAUUGUCCACAUCAUGCGAAGGCUGUUUUCCUCGAAAGCUCCUUUGUUGCAGUGUGAGAACCACUGCUCAGCGAACCCUUGCAAGAAUGGCGGUAUAUGCACUGAGCACUGGACAAGCUUUAGCUGCAAUUGCAGUGGAACAACAUACACAGGGAACACGUGUGAAGGAGAGUCUGGGGCCCAGUUCCAAGAUGAUUCCACACUCACAGUGCCUCUCCCGAUGGGUACACCAUUAGCAGGCUUGCAGCAAGAUGCUCUUGAGUUUGGCUUCAGCACCAAUCAACCCUCAGGAGUACUAUUCUAUGUCAGGAGUGAUGAAAGCAGUGGUGCUGAGGAGAGGCUUAUGAUUGCUCUGCAUGGAGGUGAUCUGGAGGCACACAUUGAUCUAGGAGGAGGAUUAACUGUUUUACGUGUUGUGGGUCCAUUUAAUGAUACCUAUCGUCAUGCUGUGGUCUUCAAACGCUUUGGAAAUAGAGUUCUAUUUGAUGUGGAUAACAUCGGGUUUGACUAUGAGACAUUGGAGCCCAUUGAAGAGACAGAGUUCAAUGAUAGGAAACUGAUGAUAAUUGGUGGAGUGGAGGUGAAUCAGACUGACUAUGGACUUCGGGGGCUACAUGGAUAUGAAGGAUGUCUAACAGGUCUAACCUACAAUGGUAUGCAGCCAUUUGAGACUCUUUUCACCAGUAAUCCAGAAAGGGACCGUAGUAACUCCGUACAUCGUCAGCAGUGUUCAGGUUUCCAGUCUGAGGAAGAAGGCACUACAGUGACUACCACACUCAUGCCCCGCACAGAAUCAACAGAGAUAUUCACCAUGGGGCUGUGGGAUCCUCAACCUGUCGAAGGCGUCAAAGUGGACAUGCCUCCAGAACUUGCAGCAAACUCUGCAGUGAACUGGGUCCUCAUUGGCGCAGUUAGUGGUGGUGCUGCUGCUGUCUUGCUGUUCCUUCUGUGCUGUUGUUGCAUCCUGAGAACUGGCAAGGAGGAGGAAGCAGCAGAGUACGAAGAGAAACAACAACUGGUUCAGCCCCAGGAUGAAGUACGUGUUGUGCAUCCAGUGCGUGAAGAAGCUGCCGAGGCCAAAUGCCUAGAUGCUCCUCCAGAAGAACCAAAAGACAGUCCUGCACCAGCCCAUUCUCCAAAACUUCAGGAAAUCCUGCGGGUGGAUACCUGUAAAGGCCCAGUGGUAGUAGUGGCAGGUGACAAGCUUUCUUCUGUUGAUAGCUUGAGUGAUGAUGCAGCCUUUCUGCAGUUGGAAGCUGAAGCUGGCUCACCAGACAAAGAAGUCGUGAAUACCAAGGAAAGUCUACAUGAAGACGACACCCUAAAGGCGCACAAGGAGUCGGCUUACCUCAAAAGUACAACGACUGAAAUGGAGACCGCACAGGUCGCCCCCAUUCCUGUCAUGACGGAGUCUGAAGAGAACCUAGUGGAGCAGCUUAGAGCUCCGUCGAAACCGGACGCAGAUGUCGCUGAGGACUCCACCCCAGCGAAGCAAAAAACACCUGAGUCGGAAACAGAUGAGACCUGCGUCUGAUACAAAGGGACGCACGCAGAUUUCUCCCACAAUCCCAACCUUAAGAGGCUCAUCUGAGGUUUGGGGCCAGUGGACGUCUGUGGACUCCAUUCAUGAAUUCGUGAGUUAUUUACUUUGCAUACUUUAGCAAUCGUGAAACUCGUUAGAUCAGUUAAUUGGUAGUUUAAUUAUGGUGAAACUCCGUAUACUUUGCUACAAUAAGAAAGUUCAAUUAUUUGCUAAAGAUUCCGACUGAAUGUCAUCAGAGGACCUUUUCGAACUACCUGAUGUAAUAAUGCCAAUUAUAAUUACUGUUACACAGGCUUAUUUCUCUCGACAACAAUAUUUAAUUAAUGGAUGAAAGCAGUAGCCAUGUCAGUCUUUGUAUUAUACCUAUCAAACAAACCUGCGACUUGUCCUGAUCUCUUUCACCUCGUGUAUCUCACAGUAAAUAGGAUUUGUUGUAUGCCAGCAGUCAGUGUUAACCCACGACGGUGUGAAUAAAAUAAUUCAUUGGAACUCUAAAAGUUCUGCACCCAAAUUUAAUGACGUAAUAAAUGUUUACUUAAAAGAUUUUUUUAAUAAUAACAACACAACAGCCAUAAACUGUCGCAGUUUAGCUUUCAUUUUGGCCACAGCUUCCAGAGAAUUUUCCGGAGGAUUUUUGCUUUUCUGAGGUGUGAACUUGUUUUAUGAGAAAGCAUUUACAUGUAUAGCGUACGUGUAUUGCCUUAUGGAUUAUUUUUGGUGUCAAAUAACCAGUGUCAAGAUGCUUAAAAAAUUCUCUGUAGUUUUUUUUGGUUCACCUGGACUUGCAUUGAGGUUAUUUGAGUAGGCCUACGUAUACAGGCGUCUCAACGGACCGUAACCAGAAGGGCCCUCACUGGUCUUUGAGGAUGGUCGUACAAUAUUAUACGCGACUGAAUUAUGCCAGUCGAUAUACAAGUUACAACAUACUUCUGUCCAAAAUGUGAAAUAAGAAACGACAUUAUUCCAGGCUUUUAUAAUUGAUGGCGAUGUUACCAAUAAAAAAGGUGGAAUGUAGUGCCCGGUCGGGCUUUUUUGCAUUUCACUUCCUGAAUUAAAAGUUGACGGGACUGUGACAAAGUUAAAUGAAUUGAUCUUUGUUCAAGCGAAGAACAUAAACAAAUCAAGAUGCUUCCAUCCACGGUCCUGGUCUGUUUCAUUACUGUCGCUGUUGACUGCAAAGAUGACCCAGGAAGUGAAAGAGUUAGAUGUCAGAAGGGGAUUUAACGGGAUCUAAUGUUUGUGUCUCCUAUACGUUUCAUACUUUUGGGGGCCCUCCGGGGUAGACCGUCAGUAAGCAAUACCCCUUAGGCUGUCGAGAGAACAUAUUUAAAUAUUUGACAUAAUCAAAGACAGGACAGAGUUUGGAUCUAGGAUCAUAACGAUGAAUGAAUGACAUGAAGCACAUAUUUAUAAAUUACGAAUUUCAUUCAAAUUCCAUUUGGCCAUAAUGGAUUUUAGUUUAAGUUACCAUAUUUCACUCUGCUCAUAAUUUGCUUAUUAGCCGUCUUGGGAAAUCCAAAUGAAC
rnacentral:misc_RNA from 1 species